UGGAGACAUGAACUGAAUCUAGAAUGUUAACACUUUACCUGUUUAAUAACAUGAUGGAAGACACACUGAGUCAGACAGUAUACAGAGAAGUACCACAUGGAGAAUGAUAGUUUCAUAUAGUUCAUGAAAAACCCUGUAGAAGCCUUGUCAGUCUGUGGGACAAACGUUGCAUUGUGUUGCUAAUCUGUUCGCAUGUGUGUGUGUGGCCCUUAUGUGAGUGCAUGUAGUGUUUGUGUAGUGUGUGGGGUGUAUGGAUGUGUGUCUGUGCCUGGGUGUGACAUUGUGGCCAGCCGGGUGCUGCUCCCCUCCUACACUGGUGGUUGUGUGUGUGCGCGUGUCUGACAGGUGUUUUGUGUGUAUGCCAGACUCCUUUGUGAGCGGUGUGUGUGUGGUGUGUGGUGUGUGUGUGUGUGUGUGUGUGUGUGGUGAGAGUCAUAGUGCCCAGCUGAGUGCUGCUCUCCUCCCACUCUCUGUGUUAAGCUGGGCUCCAGUGAGACAGUCUGGUCAGUCUGGUGUUUGAAAGAGGAAUGAACUCACCAUCACAGAAAUCUCCUACUCCCACCGUGUUACACUACCCAGGACAGGACUCUCCUACUCCACAGUGUUACACUACCCAGGACAGAUCUCCUACUCCACAGUGUUACUUUCCCAGGACAGACCUCUCCUACUCACAGUGUUACUCUACCCAGGACGACCGACCUCUACUACUCCACCGUGUUACUCUACCCAGGACAGACCUCUCCUACUCCACAGUGUUACACACUACCCAGGCAGACCUCUCCUACUCCACGUGUUACACUACCCAGGACGGACUCUCCUACUCCACAGUGUUACUCUACCCAGGACAGACCUCUCCUACUCCACAGUGUUACUCUACCCAGGACAGACCUCUCCUACUCCACAGUUGUUACACUUCCCAGGACAGGACUCUUCAUUCUGUCCACUGGUGCAGAGCCGCAGAGUACUCUGGGGUUUGAAUAGAAUAUUGUUGUUGCUGUUGACACGUCUGAGGAUGUGGAAGAGGAGACCAUCACUGUUUCUACCAUAAGACACAGAACUACAGGUUAUUCAACCAAGAGGAAAGAGACAGAUCCAUUCCUGCAACAAUCCCGGGACGUACAAGAACACGUUAUCAAGGGGAACUUCUGUCACCUGUAAUCAUUGUUUUGGAGAAGAGAGGAGAUUUGACGCCAUCUUGACAACACUCAUCAUCUAGUGAAAACCAGGGAAAACACACCGGGCCCAGUUGAACAGAACUGUU
rnacentral:lncRNA from 1 species